UACGAAGGGGGCUAGCGUUGCUCGGAAUGACUGGGCGUAAAGGGCGCGUAGGCGGCUUGCACCGUCAGAUGUGAAAUUCCUGGGCUUAACCUGGGGGGCUGCAUUUUGAUACGUGUGGGCUUGAGUGCGGAAGAGGGUCGUGGAAUUCCCAGUGUAGAGGUGAAAAUUCGUAGAUAUUGGGAAGAACACCGGUGGCGAAGGCGGCGACCUGGUCCGUGACUGACGCUGAGGCGCGAAAGCGUGGGGGAGCAAACAGG
rnacentral:rRNA from 1 species